AGGAUGAACGCUGGCGGCGUGCCUAAUACAUGCAAGUCGAGCGAACAGAUAAGGAGCUUGCUCCUUUGACGUUAGCGGCGGACGGGUGAGUAACACGUGGAUAACCUACCUAUAAGACUGGGAUAACUUCGGGAAACCGGAGCUAAUACCGGAUAAGAUUUUGAACCGCAUGGUUCAAUAGUGAAAGACGGCCUUGCUGUCACUUAUAGAUGGAUCCGCGCCGUAUUAGCUAGUUGGUAAGGUAACGGCUUACCAAGGCAACGAUACGUAGCCGACCUGAGAGGGUNAGUCGGCGCACUGG
rnacentral:rRNA from 1 species